rnacentral:rRNA from 1 species
AUUGAACGCUGGCGGCAUGAUUUACACAUGCAAGUCGAACGGUAACAGGCCGCAAGGUGCUGACGAGUGGCGCACGGGUGAGUAAUGCAUCGGAACGUGCCCAGUCGUGGGGGAUAACUACUCGAAAGAGUAGCUAAUACCGCAUACGAUCUAUGGAUGAAAGCGGGGGACCGUAAGGCCUCGCGCGAUUGGAGCGGCCGAUGUCAGAUUAGGUAGUUGGUGGGGUAAAGGCUCACCAAGCCAACGAUCUGUAGCUGGUCUGAGAGGACGACCAGCCACACUGGGACUGAGACACGGCCCAGACUCCUACGGGAGGCAGCAGUGGGGAAUUUUGGACAAUGGGCGCAAGCCUGAUCCAGCAAUGCCGCGUGCAGGAAGAAGGCCUUCGGGUUGUAAACUGCUUUUGUACGGAACGAAACGGCUCUGGUUAAUACCCGGGGCUAAUGACGGUACCGGAAGAAUAAGCACCGGCUAACUACGUG